rnacentral:rRNA from 1 species
AAGAGAGAGUCAAAAGACCGUGAAACCGCUCAGAGUAUAAGCCAAUGGAGCUUGGAAGGCUUCCGCAGAUGGUGUCCAUCAUACGUGGUGUUCUUAAGACCUUGAGUAUGGCUCGUCAGGCGAAGCAUUGAGUUUGCCGACCAGUCGUCGUGCGGGGGGUUCGGCUUGGGGGACUUGGGCUUCGGCCUAGGUGCCCCCGAUCGUCCCCUUUGGAAUGGACGUUCAGAGCUCUUGUGUCUAAUGCGGUUAUGCCCACCACAGCACGUUGUGAGGUCACCCACAGGCUCAAACUGCCGAUUGCGCACCCAGGACGAUGGCAACGAUGCGUUGUCCUGGGUCGGGCGGCGACCGAGAUAAACCUGGUAUGAUCCUCUUGCGACGAGCUGCUUUCUGGCCAGACCGACGCCCAGGCGCUUCCACUGUGCCGGAAGCGUCAAUCCCAGGCGGUGUGAACCCAGCUGCAUUAUGCAAGGUCUCUCAGCCGGGCGUUGGUCUGAGUGGUGUUAAGUCCAGCACCAUCGGUCACGUCUCGAAACACGGGCCAAGGAGUAUAGCAUGUGUGCAAGUCUAAGGGUCUCCCAAAACCCGAAGGCGAAGUGAAAGCAAGUCUGUGGCGGGGGAGCUACGGCAAACCCGCCGGCCUGGUGGCGCGCAAGCGUUGCCUGGCUUUUAGCAGAGCUGAUCCUGUUUUCUCGGUUAAUUCUUGGUGCAGGCGCAAGCUCCGGGCUCACGUACAACACUGGUCACGCCUCGUGUGUGGCUGUGUUGUGAGCACCGUGGAGCAUGC